GGGUUGCGGCUCAGCGGUAAAGCACUUGCCUCGCAUGUAUAAGGCCCUGGGUUCAAUCCCCAGCAACACA
rnacentral:tRNA from 1 species